GAGAGCUCCCGCCCCUCUGACCCUGAGAGAAAGGUCGCAGCGCCCACGGCUGCCUAGAACCCGAAAGAAGAGGAGCGGGGUGCGGGGACACAGAGUUGCUCAAGAAAGUGAGCUAUGCGCAGUGCUCCGGGAGAGCUUGUCUCAAACCAGGUCCCAAGUGAGGGCAGAGGCGUAACUUCGUACUGGGCAGUUUAAAAGCAGAAGCGGUGUCUCUGGGAGGCCAAGGCGGGCGGAUCACCUGAGGUCGGGAGUUCAAGACCAGCCUGACCAACAUGGAGAAACCCCGUCUCUACUAAAGAUACAAAAUUAGCCGGGCGUGGUGGUGCAUGCCUGUAAUUCCAGCUACUCGGGAA
rnacentral:lncRNA from 1 species